CAGUAGCCACGGUAAUACGUAGGGGGCAAGCGUUAUCAGGAAUUACUGGGUGUAAAGGGAGCGUAGACGGUUAAACAAGUCUGAAGUGAAAUGCCGGGGCUCAACCCCGGAGCUGCUUUGGGAACUGUAGAACUGGAGUGUCGGAGGGGUAAGCGGAAUUCCCAGUGUAGCGGUGAAAUGCGUAGAUAUUGGGAGGAACACCGGCGGCGAAGGCGGCUUACUGGACGACAACUGACGUUGAGGCUCGAAGGCGUGGGUAGCAAACUGGAUUAGAUACCCGGGUAGUCCCUGUCUCUUAUAC
rnacentral:rRNA from 1 species